rnacentral:rRNA from 1 species
CCUACGGGCGGCAGCAGUGGGGAAUAUUGCACAAUGGGCGCAAGCCUGAUGCAGCCAUGCCGCGUGUGUGAAGAAGGCCUUCGGGUUGUAAAGCACUUUCAGCGGGGAGGAAGGCGGUGAGGUUAAUAACCUCAUCGAUUGACGUUACCCGCAGAAGAAGCACCGGCUAACUCCGUGCCAGCAGCCGCGGUAAUACGGAGGGUGCAAGCGUUAAUCGGAAUUACUGGGCGUAAAGUGCACGCAGGCGGUCUGUCAAGUCGGAUGUGAAAUCCCCGGGCUCAACCUGGGAACUGCAUUCGAAACUGGCAGGCUAGAGUCUUGUAGAGGGGGGUAGAAUUCCAGGUGUAGCGGUGAAAUGCGUAGAGAUCUGGAGGAAUACCGGUGGCGAAGGCGGCCCCCUGGACAAAGACUGACGCUCAGGUGCGAAAGCGUGGGGAGCAAACAGGAUUAGAUACCCGGGUAGUC